rnacentral:rRNA from 1 species
GACGAACGCUGGCGGCGUGCUUAACACAUGCAAGUCGAACGGAAAGGCCCUGCUUUUGUGGGGUGCUCGAGUGGCGAACGGGUGAGUAACACGUGAGUAACCUGCCCUUGACUUUGGGAUAACUUCAGGAAACUGGGGCUAAUACCGGAUAGGAUCUCCUGCUGCAUGGUGGGGGUUGGAAAGUUUCGGCGGUUGGGGAUGGACUCGCGGCUUAUCAGCUUGUUUGUGGGGUAGUGGCUUACCAAGGCUUUGACGGGUAGCCGGCCUGAGAGGUUGAACGGCCACAUUGGGACUGAGGUACGGCCCAGACUCCAACGGGAGGCAGCAGUGGGGAAUAUUGCACAAUGGGCGGAAGCCUGAUGCAGCAACGCCGCGUGCGGGAUGACGGCCUUCGGGUUGUAAACCGCUUUCGCCUGUGACGAAGCGUGAGUGACGGUAAUGGGUAAAGAAGCACCGGCUAACUACGUG